UACAGAGGUGGCAAGCGUUGUUCGGAAUUACUGGGCGUAAAGGGCGCGUAGGCGGUCUUGUAAGUCCUGUGUGAAAUCCCUCGGCUCAACUGAGGAACUGCAUCCGAUACUGGAUGGCUUGAAUCCGGGAGAGGGAUGCAGAAUUCCAGGUGUAGCGGUGAAAUGCGUAGAUAUCUGGAGGAAUACCGGUGGCGAAGGCGGCAUCCUGGACCGGCAUUGACGCUGAUGAGCGAAAGCUAGGGGAGCAAACGGG
rnacentral:rRNA from 1 species